CAGAGGGGGCAAGCGUUAUUCGGAAUUAUUGGGCGUAAAGGGCGCGUAGGCGGCUUUGCAAGUGACGGGUGAAAUCCCUCGGCUUAACCCGAGGAACUGCCUGUCAGACUGCAUUGCUUGAGUCCGGGAGAGGUGAGUGGAAUUCCCAGUGUAGCGGUGAAAUGCGUAGAUAUUGGGAGGAACACCAGUGGCGAAGGCGGCUCACUGGACCGGAACUGACGCUGAGGCGCGAAAGCGUGGGGAGCAAACAGGAUUAGAUACCCUGGUAGUCCACGCCGUAAACGAUGAGUGCUUGGUGUAGCCGGGUAUCGACCCCUGCUGUGCCGAAGUCAACACAUUAAGCACUCCGCCUGGGGAGUACGGUCGCAAGACUG
rnacentral:rRNA from 1 species